CAGCUCUUGGCUCUCCUGGAGCUUGGCGCCUGACCCUGAAAGGGAUGGGCUCUCACUAUUCUGCCCCCUGGCCCUGGGCCAGGGACCCCAGACCACCCUUCCUCUGCCCCCACUUCCUAUCACCCUAGCUGGGCUGCUGCUCUUCAGACCUCAGAUCCGGGAAACUAGAGGGGUCCCAGAUGCUGGGGUGCAUAUGUCAGAUGGGAGUGCAGGAGGGCUGCCCAGGACAGCUGAUCGCUAGGCAUGGUCCCCAGGCCCACGUCUGUGUGCAUUCCUGCCUUGGAGGUGCCUGCAGGCCCUGCAGCGAUGCUGAGCUGCUCCUGGCUGCAUGCACCAGCGACUUCGGUGAGUGUCCCCGCCAUGGGGGGAGCCUGGAGCCUGCCUUUCCCUGAAUGCCCACCCCACCACAUGCCUCCCCACAGUAAUUCAUGGGAUCAUCCAUGGGGUUGCCCAUGACGUGGAGCUGCAGGAGUCUGUCAUCACCGUGGUGGCCGCCCGUGUCCUCCGCCAGACACCGCCGCUGUUCCGGGCGGGGCGAUCCGGGGACCAGGGGCUGACCUCCAUUCGUACCCCGCUGCGCUGUGGCGUCCGCCCGGGCCCAGGCACCUUCCUCUUCAUGGGCUGGAGCCGCUUCGGGGAGGCCUGGCUGGGCUGUGCCCCACGAUUCCAGGAGUUCCGCCGUGCCUACGAGGCUGCCCGUGCUGCCCACCUCCACCCCUGUGAGGUGGCGCUGCACUGAGGGGCCGGGUGCUGGGGAGGGGCUGGUAGGAGGGAGGGUGGGGGGCUCACUGCUUUGGAGGUGAUGGGGACUAUCAAUAAGAACUUUGUUCACACAAGCUGCUGUGGACCUGGUCUCCUGUGUCCAGCCCAGCCUUGGGCCUGCCUUGCAGCUGUGAGGAUGGCUCCAAUUCCUGCCUUCCGGCGGGAGACUGAGGCUCAGGGGACUGGUAUCUUGUUCAAGACCAUUUGGCAACUGAGAGGGAGAGCAGAUGUCAGGAGGAGCUACACCCACAUUCCAGGGAGGGGCCGCUGCUGGGUUGGGGGCACGUGGGGACCUGCACUCAUGCAAGCUUCUGCUCUGCUGCGCCCACCAGCCCCGUCCUCGCCCGCACCCUUGCCUGCUUCCCUGGCUGGCUCCCACUUGCCUCCCGUGUCAGGUGCUUCUGGGGCUCA
rnacentral:sRNA from 1 species